UUAUUUGAGAGUUUGAUCCUGGCUCAGGAUGAACGCUGGCGGCGUGUCUAAGGCAUGCAAGUCGAACGGUCGUUCGCACUUCACUUCGUUUCGUGCGAACUCCAACUAUUAACCAUUAACAAUUAACUCUUAACCAGUGGGUUAUUAGUUAAUUGUUAAAUGUUAACUGUUAAUUGUUGGAGUGAACACAGAGCGUAGCGAUGUGUGAACGACAGUGGCAAACGGGUGCGUAACACAUUGGUAACCUACCUCGAAGUUCGGAAUAACUCCGCGAAAGCGGGGCUAAUACCGGAUGUGUUUCCCGAUGGCAUCAUCGGGAAGUAAAGAUUUAUCGCUUCGAGAGGGGCCUAUGGCCUAUCAGCUAGUUGGUGAGGUAAUGGCUCACCAAGGCUAUGACGGGUAGCGGGCGUGAGAGCGCGACCCGCCUCAUUGGGACUGAGACACUGCCCAAACUCCUACGGGAGGCUGCAGUCAAGAAUCUUGCACAAUGGACGAAAGUCUGAUGCAGCGACGCCGCGUGACCGAAGAAGCCCUUCGGGGUGUAAAGGUCUUUUGCUAAGGACGAAUUUUUGACGGUACUUAGUGAAUAAGGGGCUGCUAAACUCGUGCCAGCAGCAGCGGUAAUACGAGUGCCCCAAGCGUUAUCCGGAUUUAUUGGGCGUAAAGCGUCUGUAGGCGGCUUGAAAAGUCAGGUGUUAAAUCCUGGGGCUUAACCUCAGGACUGCAUUUGAAACUAUUAAACUAGAGGCCGGGAGAGGCAGAUGGAAUUGCCGGUGUAGGGGUAAAAUCCGUUAAUAUCGGCAAGAACACCAAAUGCGAAAGCUUUCUGCUAGAACGGUUCUGACGCUGAGAGACGAAAGCGUGGGGAGCG
rnacentral:ncRNA from 1 species